GUUGUGCAAAGAGAAGAGCAAAAUAUCUACACCAGACGUCUCUUUUAGGUACAGAGGGAUGGAGUCUUGUAAGAAGGUAGCUGCAAGCUUGAAGUCGUGUGAGCCAUGGGGGAACAGGGCAUCCUGGACAAACGCCGUUGGGCCAGGUUGGAAGUUGAGCUUUGCUGUUGAGCCAUGGACUAAGGGCUUUAGCGCGUCGUGUGCGGCGCCAUAUUCUGCUGGAGCCACAGAGCAUCAAUUAUCGCUCGAUGAGAAGGUGGAUAACUCCACCGUUGCAUCUGGUUUUGAUGGGUAAAGUUAUCUAUCAGCUAGAUUCAUGGCAGGAAAGGUUUUUUCUAUUGUCGGUAUCCAGCACCUAAGUAGGCCUAGGAUUUUUUUCUUCUAUCUUUAAUUAGCAAUUGCCUUUUUCAGCAACCCGUUCUUAUGAAUUUCUUUUAUUGACAACAUGAAUUAGUCUAUUUUAGUUCAUCUCUUUCUUGUCACAAAUUUAAAUGAAUAUAAUUGUUUGUUUCAGUGGCAAUUCUGUGAAGCCCAAAGGUUCCAAGUCACCAUGAAAAAAUUGAAAUGACGAGAUCUCUUAAUCUAAUUGUUGCACCUUGGAAGGUCUGAACCAUCAUAGUUUAAUUGUAUCACCCAUUUACACAAGUUCCUACCAUCAGAGUUCAACUGUAUCACCCAUCCAUAAGCAAUUCCUUUUGUUGAAAUUUAUGAGAAGACAUAUGCCUCUGUUAAGUCUCAGGAACUUUUUUGCUGGGAAGCCAAUUCCUUACUGAUCUGAGGGACAACAUUUUUGUUUGCCUGAUAUAAGGUGAUGAAGGUGGCUGGAUAACACGAUUAUGGGUAAAGUGUGAAAGGGAAACGCGAAAAGAAACGUGUCCUGGUCCCAAGUCACCUGCCAUACUGAACACGAUUGAUCGCAGAAAGAAACACGUUCUGGUCUAGACUGACAGUUUUGGAGCUGGAGCCGGCCAUGCGCUCGAUCAGAGUUCCGCUGCAGCCACGACCUCUCUCCCGAACGCGCACGAGGAGACCAGGUGGAACAUAUGCAAGCAGGUUCUAGAGCAAUAACCCCAUGAAUCCAGAUCGGGGGUCUGCAUCUACACGGGCGUGUACUCCGCACCGCUCCCCUCCGGCCCCGACCGCCGUGUGCUCGUUGUAGCCGGGGUCGACCUCAACCACGACGACGAUGCGGUCUCCUCGCCCCAGGCUCGACCUCCUCGCUGACCUCGCCCUGCUCCACCUCAACUCGCGAUGAGGAUUGUCGGCACGUUCACACCGCGCCGUUGCAGAACGUUGGAGCCUCUCAGAACUCUAGAAGCUGCCUACCACCACGCACCCUAAGAUAGGGGCAUAUCUGUGCAUGGUACCAUCUUCAUCAUGUAGCUGGGAUGAGCUGGCACCAUGAAAGAAUUCAAGUGGUUAAAUCAUGCAUCUGCAGAAAUAUUGUACUCUCAAAUGGUGGGUUGCUGCGUCAUGGGAGUUUGGGUGAAGGCCUGAAGGAUGUGAUGCAAAACGUCGAUGCAGGUCUGGGAUGUCCGCCUCAUUAUGGAUCAAAAUUCAUGACGUUCUAAAGGUGUCGGAUGAGUACCUAUAUACUCCCUCCCAGAAAACAAGGCGCCUCAUUACACUAUUGGAAGCUGGACGACAUGGAUGACUCUGGCAAGAUGCGGUGGGAGCACGACGACAUGGAUGACUCCGACCAUGAGUUCGACAGGAAGCCUAGCAACAGUACGCAGUAGCAAGGUUGACCAGAGGGGCAGUGGAGACUAACCCAACACCCCCUCCUCCGACCGUCAUAGCGCUUCUUUCCUCUGGCUUCAUUUCUUACCUAUGUAUGGAUGGUCUUCACCACUGGUUACAUCUAGCAAGUCCUCCUAGGGUGACAUGAAGGAGAUUGUCAUGCUGCCAAAGCACAUCAAGGACAAUGCAAACAAGGACAGAGGAAGACCGGACAUGCCAUUUCCAGGUGGUGACAUUUCUAUUCUCACGCGCCCACCCAACAUUUUUGCUUUUACUAAAUGACUAUGUGCGCGAAUGCUUUGUGGAUGUUGAGAGGGAUUAUCUGUGCUUGACAAAACAGUAUCCCAGACUUGCAAUUACUCCAGAAUUUUCUAAGGUUGGGCAUUUUGUACAUUGAACUUUUGUUGCUGAUCGAUAUUCAAUGUGGCUUUUGGCAUUCUCUGUCACUCUAGCUAGGUCCUUGGAUGAGCCACACUAUUGACAUGGGUUUAGAGAACUUCUCAAGGGCCCGCUGUAUUAUGCCUGUGCUAUAACUCUGACAACAAUAGUUUUCUGGAGGACAUCUCCCAUCUCAAUCGCGGUGAUCUGCAAUUUGUGUGCCGGAGAUGGAAAUGGAGGCAGCAUGCUGCUGACAAGCGAUUACUUAGGGAGCAGAAGAAUGCUCUUGCUGUUGCAGCAUUGUGUUCUCUAUCACUUGGCCCACCAGUUCAUAAAAGUACAACGGUGUCUAAGCUAGCAGUUGAAGAACUAGAUAUUGGCCACGCCUUUAAAGAAAGACAAGCAAGAAAGCAAAGGUCCUGGUCACGGCUAAAUGUUUCGGAGUUGUCUGGUCCCAUUCUAAAUGAAAAUAACCCUGAUGCUAGAUGCCUCUGCUGGAUGUUGCUUGUACUUGUUCCACCGGGUAUGGAAUCCCAGACCAACAGUUUUGUCUCAAAAUGGUUACUUAGAAAGCUCAUGGGUUAUGGAACCGGAUAUAUUGGAUUGGUUGUUUCUUCAGCAGGCCUAUCAAUUUGGACAGAGUGGAUCAGUUUUCCAAAUGCAUGUUGUUUGUCUGUUGUUAGGGCCAGCGAUCAGCAAGUUAUUGAUAAUGAUAUUUGGUCGUGUUUUGGUCAGUAUGACAUGGCGGCAGUGGUAUCCACAAUGUUGCUCGUCACCGGGGUGACUACAUUGCUGCACAUGUUUGUUGGAACGAGACUAUCCACUUGUGCAGGGUCCAUCCUUUUUAUACCUGGCUCCUGCCCUUGCGAUCAUCAACUCACAAGAAUUCUUUGGGAUCAAUGAUAAUAAUUCUAAACACAUAAUGAAGCACCUGCAGGGAGCUAUAAUAAUUGGAGGUGCAUUCCAAGUGUUUUUGGGAUAUAGAGGCCUCAUGUCACUAUUUCUUAGGUUGAUAAAUCCAGUGGCGAUGAGCUCCACCUGCUGCUGCUUAUAAGGUAGGUGGAGAUGGUCGAGAAAUUGAGACACAUGGUUCUGCUGUCCUGGGUAACUUCUGCGACAAGCGCAUUCGAUGGUACAAAAGACAUAAUGGAAGCUCUUAGCAACAAACAUACUAAUCUAGCCAAUGAGCUUGAGAAUUCUGAAGAAGUACCAUUUCCAGGUCACUUGACAUCCAAGAGCAAUGUGUGCAGCUUUAGGGUGGUGCUGCUGGAGCUCAUGAUAGGCAGACGGUCAAUGGACAAGAGCCGAUCAGCAGGUCUGCCACCAGAAGUUUCUUUUAUGCUGGAUUUGUGGUAUGAAGAAACUUUGUUGAGGUAUUAUGCACCAGCUUUGGGGUUCUUGAUGUUUGCUGUUGGUGUAAACUCAAGCGCCAAGGAUUUGAUUGAAACAAUAAAAAGGCCAGAUGCUAUUGCUGCGGGCUAUAUCAGACAGUUUGUCAAGCUCGUCACCGUCGACGACCCUUUCAUCACCACGGACUACAUGGUUUCGGGAGGAUCAACGGGCUCGUGGCCAGGGUCCCCCUCUAGAAAUGUGGGGAAAAUUGAUGAGGCAUCAGAACUGAGGAGAACUGUGAGUGAUAUCAAGCACAAUGUUCAGACACAGCUUAGCGAGAAUGCUAAGACCAAUAAACGAGUGAUUGGGAUUCACAAAGAAUUGCAGAAACUGCAUAGAGAAGCUAUUCAGAACACCAUCAAUUCAGUCACCAUGGUAGCAACCCUGAUUGCCUCCAUUGCCUUCGUUGUCAUAUUCAAUUUGCCAGGUCAAUACUUCCAAGAUGUGAAUAGUGGGGGAGACAUUGGUGAGGCUCAAACAACUAUGAUUGUGAGUGAGGCGGUGGUGGUGGACACGCGCAGGACGGGACGGACGAAGCAUCUUCCAAGCCGGGGCAGAGCGCUGUCGAAGCAGCCAGCAACAAAAGCUUUCGCUGGAGCCGCUGGUGGAGUACAGAGACGUGGGAACCAGGAAGGGUAUUGCUGUUGACCGAUUAGUUGGGUCUCAAGAUCUCAGAAGUAAAGACGAUUUUCUGACAAGAGCACUGGAACAUAUUCUUAUUCUCAAGACGAAAGGGAUAAUCGAUGAGAAGAAGAAAGAUGACGAAGAUGACGAUGAAGAAAGCGAGGCUAAGAAUAGGAGGGUUAGGUCCUCAACUGCUCAAGCCUCUGACUCAGACUGAACCUAAGAUGAGGAUUGAGGACUCACCUUUUUUGCACUUUGGAUUUUGUUUGUUUGUUCUGUGAUGUGCUGUAUUGUACUGUAAUUGAUUUGUGUAACCAUGUAUCGGUACCAGACACCACAACAAGAACAUGUACAAGAGAUUCUUUAGCAUCCAUUGUGUGUAAAAGUUAGGGUUUGUGGCUGCCUUUUAUUUCAUUUUUCCUUAGCUGUCAUAGGAUGGUACAACACAACAAGAACAUGUACAAGUAUGUCAUAGCUUGUCUUUCUUGCUUCUUAAGACAUUGUUCUGCCUUUUGGCACUUAUGGCAUAUGACUUUUUCACAAA